rnacentral:lncRNA from 1 species
UGAUGUCAAUGUGGCUGGUCCAAGAAUCACACUUUGAGAACCACUGCUUUCGGCCAGUCUCCAUGAGAGAAAGUUCCCAACCUCUGACUAUCAGAUCCACAAUACGCCCCAGCCUCUGGAGGACACAGAGAGAAUGGAAGUCAUGGAGAAGAAAAGAGAAAAGUGUCAGAGGACCAGGAUAUACCCUCAGGACUAGCACUGUGCCUGCCGUAGAACGGGGCCUGCUCAGUGUUUUUUGGGUUGAGCUGCAUCUUAGAAUGAAAUCCUACAACUGAGGUGGCUAAAGGAAUUAAAAAUGGUAUCUGUAAUGUUAAAUUUCAGACUGCUGCACAAUACAUCAGUUUUAGGUACUUUUUAAAAGAUGAACAAGUACAAGACUUCAAAGAAGUCUCUCCCUUGUGAAGGGUCCCUUCCGGCUUCAGUUUAGAGUCUCUGCACUUUUAGUUCAUCUCAUUUGGGUGUUUCAAGGGAACAGAGAAGCCCUGGUUUAGAUGAUGUAAGGUUUUCUGAUGCCAAAGUGAGAAUGAUAAAAUGUCUGAAGGAAGAACACGAUGCUAUGCAUUCCAGGCAGAAUCUGGACUUGAAAACAACGAAGCACAAAUGCUUUUAGAUGAACUGAUUCACUUUUAUUUUGUAAACAUCCUAGAAGAAUUCCAUUUGCACUGAACUGUUUGAACCACUGCAGAGCUCUUGGUCCUUCUAAUCCCCAAGGAAAGUCGAUCCAUCGCGUCCUGCUACACUUUAUUUCUCCACUUUGCCCCUUUUCUCAAUUCUUUGUGAUCAGCAUAAAGUUUGAACCGUGCCUGUUCUCGCCUUCGUGCCUGGCCACCUGUCCAGCCCUGCGGUCAGCUGUACUGACCAGCAGACGGUGGUGCCUCUCUUGCCAAGUGGAGCCGAUGCUCUGUGACCAUUGUUCGUGGGGCCACACUGCCAUCCCCAUCGUUGCCCCUUCAAGACACUCGUCAACAGCUGUAAGAGGCUUCCCAUCCUCGCCCGUAUAAAAGGAAGGCCUGAAAACACUUCUCGGAGCAUCAGUUCAUAGGUCACCGCAACCGGCCGAACAAUACGCGAUUAUUCAACGGGCUCCAAUUCAUUUUCCUCUGCUCCUCCCCCACCGUUACCCUUGAGAGAAAACUAAUUUGCAGAAAAAUAGCCUCUGCCAGCCAACUUCUUCUCCUAAAUGUAUGCUGACCCCGAACUCUUGUCUCAGUGGGUCCUUAUUCUCAUAGUCAAUGCACAGGAGUUCUGAAAAGCAGUCUUCUCCUUUAAAAACCUCCCCCACCCCCCAGCAUCUCAGUCUGGGAGAUGGUUU